rnacentral:misc_RNA from 1 species
GUUUGCAGAAAUGAGCGAUAGGAUUGUACCUGUGGCGAUCAACUGCAAGCAAAGUAUGUUCUAUGGAACAACCGUACGCGGCGUCAAAUAUUGGGAUCCUUAUUUCUUCUUUAUGAACCCAAGGCCAACCUAUGAGGUCAAAUUCCUGGAACGCUUGCCGGAAGAGAUGACCGUUAAGGCCGGAGGGAAAUCACCCAUCGAGGUGGCGAAUUAUGUGCAGAAGGUGUUGAGUGAUGUGUUGGGGUUUGAGCGCACUGGAUUAACCAGGAAGGAUAAGUACAUGUUGCUU